GACGAACGCUGGCGGCGUGCUUAACACAUGCAAGUCGAACGGAAAGGCCCCUUUGGGGGUACUCGAGUGGCGAACGGGUGAGUAACACGUGAGUAACCUGCCCUUGACUUCGGGAUAACUUCAGGAAACUGGGGCUAAUACCGGAUAGGAAUCCUUGCUGCAUGGUGGGGGUUGGAAAGCUUCGGCGGUUUUGGAUGGACUCGCGGCUUAUCAGCUUGUUGGUGGGGUAGUGGCUUACUAAGGCUUUGACGGGUAGCCGGCCUGAGAGGGCGACCGGCCACAUUGGGACUGAGAUACGGCCCAGACUCCUACGGGAGGCAGCAGUGGGGAAUAUUGCACAAUGGGCGGAAGCCUGAUGCAGCAACGCCGCGUGCAGGAUGACGGCCUUCGGGUUGUAAACCGCUUUCAGCAGGGGCGAAGCUUGUGGUGACGGUACCUGCAGAAGAAGCACCGGCUAACUACGUG
rnacentral:rRNA from 1 species